rnacentral:rRNA from 1 species
GAUGAACGCUAGCGGCAGGCUUAACACAUGCAAGUCGAGGGGUAGGGUGGCUUCGGCUACUUGAGACCGGCGCACGGGUGCGUAACGCGUAUUCAAUCUACCUUAUACAGGGGGAUAGCCCAGAGAAAUUUGGAUUAAUACCCCAUAGUAUCUUCGAAUGGCAUCAUUUGAUUAUUAAAGUUUCAACGGCAAAAGAUGAGCAUGCGUCCCAUUAGCUAGAUGGUAAGGUAACGGCUUACCAUGGUUACGAUGGGUAGGGGUCCUGAGAGGGAGAUCCCCCACACUGGUACUGAGACACGGACCAGACUCCUACGGGAGGCAGCAGUGAGGAAUAUUGGGCAAUGGUCGCAAGACUGACCCAGCCAUGCCGCGUGCAGGAUGACGGUCCUAUGGAUUGUAAACUGCUUUUGUACAGGAAGAAACACUCCUACGUGUAGGAGCUUGACGGUACUGUAAGAAUAAGGAUCGGCUAACUCCGUGCCAGCCGCCGCUGUAACAC